UACGAAGGGGGCUAGCGUUGUUCGGAAUUACUGGGCGUAAAGCGCGCGUAGGCGGACAUUUAAGUCAGGGGUGAAAUGCCGGGGCUCAACCUCGGAACUGCCUUUGAUACUGGAAGUCUUGAGACCGGAAGAGGUAAGUGGAACUGCGAGUGUAGAGGUGAAAUUCGUAGAUAUUCGCAAGAACACCAGUGGCGAAGGCGGCUUACUGGUCCGGUUCUGACGCUGAGGCACGAAAGCGUGGGGAGCAAACAGG
rnacentral:rRNA from 1 species